AUGCAAUUUAGAUCUUAGGGGCUCUUAACUUUUGAAAUGUUUCUUUCUUGCCUCCAGUAAAUACAGGUUUGAAAGCUUUUUAUUUAGACCAAGAUCUGGGAUGAGAGGAAGGCUGUGGAUGUAGUUUAUCUAGACUUCAGUGAAGCUUUGACUCUGUAUCCCACUGUAUUCUCCUGCAGAAGCUGGCAGUCCAUGGCUUAUGCAGAUGUACUCUUUACUAAGUAAAAAUCUGGCUGGACACCCAGGCCCAGAGAGUAGUGGAGUUUAAUCCAGCUGACAAGUGAUCACUAGUUGUGUUCCCCAGGGGUCAGUAUUGGGGCAGUAAUGUUCAUUAUCUUUAUAGAUUAUGUAGAUGAGGAGUAAUUAUGUAUGUAGUUAUGUAAUUGAGUGUACCUUCAGUAAGCUCGCAGAUGAUGUCAAGCUGACAGGAACUGUUCAUCUGCCUGAGGGUAGCAAGGUCCUACACAAGGAUCUGAAUAGGUGCUGAGUCCAAUUGUAUGAGCUUUAACAAGACCAAGUGCCAGGUCCAGCAUAUUGGUCAGAACAACACCAUGCAAAGCUGUAGGCUUGGGGCAGAAUGACUGGAAAGCUGUGUGGAGAAAGGAUCUGAGGGUGCUGGGUGACACUCAGCUGAACAUGAGCCAGCAGUGUGCCCAGGCGACCAAGGGCUGUAUCAGACCUACUGUAGUCAGCAGGAUCAGGGAUGUGAUCAUCCCCAUGUACUGAGCUCUGGUGAGGCCACACCUCAAGUACAGUGUUCAGUUUUGGGCCUCUCGUUAGAAGUAAGACACUAAGGCCCUGAAGUAUGUCCAAAGAAGGGCAGUGAAGCUGGUGAAGGAUUUGGAGCACAAAUAUUAUGGGGAGCAGCUGAGAGAACAGGCAUUGUUUAGUCUGGACACGAGAAGGCUCAGGGGAGGCCUUACUGAUCUCUAAAACUACCUUAAAGGAGGUUGUGGUGAGGUGGGAGUCAGCCUCUGCUCUGUUUCCAUUUUCCAUUCAGUGGGAAAGAUAAAACUGUUUACACAUCAUGAGACAUCCCUUUUCCCUUUCUGCUUGUCUCUACAGCGAGUGUGCUCCCUAGUCAUCUUGCUGUCAGCAUUAGAAGCAUCUAAACAAGGAGAGAAUAUCACAGAAAACUGCAGGAGACAUUGUGCUCACAGGCCCUGAUCCUACAAGGUGACGUCAGCCACGCAGACGUCCACUGGAAAAGUGGCACAGCAAACUGCAAGAUAUCUAUAUCUGUGGAGCCUUACUGGAUAUGGAAUUAUAUUCUAUUUUAAUAGCACAGAAGCAGUUGCUACUGUUUGAGAACAUUCCUGAAAGAAUGUGGUGAAACUAAGCUAUUAGAAGGAUUGGAAGGACUGUAUGACCACAGCUUUAUGGAUCCAUUUGGAGGCAGGGUUACAAGAAGGCAAGGAGAUCAUUUACGUCAAAAAUGCAGUUAAGUAUAGACCUGAUGCACAGCCUGUUACUACUUGGAAACUGUAAGAAUGAUACAGAAGCUUUCAGAUUUCUUUUACAGCAGCUGGUAAGCAACCCCAAUACUGUUGUCAUUUUACAACAUGAAUUUGUGAAUCUUUGUAAAUUUUCUUCUAUGAAUAUUACUCCUUCACCUUUUACUGUUUUAUUCAUUUUAAACUUUUAUCCCCAUUUUUCCACUCUGUCUGGCUUGUCUGACUCUAGUUUCAUUUACCCUAUUCUCCAUUACUCCUCUGGCCUCUUUUCAUGUCUUUUUUUUUUCUUGGUUGUAUUUUUCUCUUCCUGGAGAUACUCCCAGACCACUUUAGAAAUGUAGGUUGCAUUUUUUAUGUCAUUCUUAGAGAAGGAAAAAGAAAUUACAACCUUAGUGCUCUGAGCUAUAUAUGGAAAUCCUCCUACAUGUCUCCACAGCAAUGCUCUUUCAUGAUUCUGAGGCAGGAAAAAGUGCAAACUUUAGCAAGGUAUGUGUCUGAUGAUUAGAAACAGUUGCUUCUCUGAUUAUAGAGCAGGUGUUAUUCUAGCCAUCUAGUGGGAGCAUAUUUCCAAAGUGUCACUUAAAAAUAAAUGAAUACAGUGACUAUGGGAUUUAAGAUGUAUUUAUUCCCACAGCUUUUCUUUGUUUACACGAUACUGUCUCCUAUGAAUCCCAUAAUAAGAUGCUGCAAUCCCUACAUUUACUAUAGGAAAUGUAAGUUACUAUUUCAGUUGCUGAGCCUAAAGGAAUGAAAUUUAGGGCAGUCCUAAAGCAGAUUCCUUCUAUUUCAGGCAUCUUUCUGAAUAGAAAUAGCUGGUGGUCAGAGAUUGGGUUUAUACGUGAUUUUGUCAGGUCUUACUGUAUUUCUGCAAUAUAUGCUCCAUACACGGAAACAGCAGUCCUACAUAUGUUAAUGCAACUCUUUUAAAACCAAAUAUUUAACAUUAUGUUGUUACUCUUUCCAAAAGGGCAUAAUUAUGUGUUAUGUAUAAGGUUGUUACAUGGCUUACUGAAUUUUUCAAAACAUACUGAAAAUUGUUUUAUGAACUACACAAUGCAAAACAUUUUUCCUGUUCUCUUCUUUAAUUGCUAAACCCAUUCACAUCAUUGCUAAACCCACUCAUAUAAAGACAAGAUCUUUGUUUCUAACAGGUCGCCUGUUCCAGCUACUUAUUUGACAAAUAAAGUGGUAAUUUCUCAUUUCUGAUCAGGCUGUUAUUUCUCAGUAAAAAAUUCUAAUUCCUUCCAAAUAAGAACGACUUCAAAUAAAAUAACCAAAAGCAGAAGCCAAACAAUUUUAGAAAUAGAUUCCAUGUCUUAAUGCAAAUGUCCCAAUUAAGUAUAACUUUUCAAUGAAAGAUGGAUUUGGAUUUGUGUGUGUGUGUGUUUUUGUGUGUGUGUGUGUGUGUGUGGAGUAAAUUGUAUCUCAAUGGUUUUCUGUAUGCAUAUUGGAUUAAUAACAAAAUAAUUUGGCUUCUCAGCAUUCAUGCUGAAAGGAGAAGUAUAUCAGAAAUUUUGUUUACUGCACACUUUGCACAUUGAGAAAUUCAGAAUCUAAAACUGUUUCCCAAUGUAGACAUAGAAUUCAUUUCUUUAGGGUACACAUUCCAAAUUUUCCUUGAAAAUGCAAACUGUUGGUAGAGUUGGAGCUCGUGAACUUUAGCAUAAUUGUUGCAUGACUAAGAAAUGAAAAUGUACUUUAAUUUGCCUCCUUGUCCUGGUGUGUCUCAACUAAUCUGACGGGAAUUAUUUUCCCACCACAAUAUAUAGACAAGUCCAGGAAAGAAAAAAAAUUAUUGUAAAGCCAAUGACAUAUUCAUGUUAAAUAUACAAGUCGAUCUUACAGCAAGAUUGGAACACAUCUGUGCCUCUGAGGUGAGCAAUAUAAUUUAGAUAAGGGUAAAAGUCCAUCUUAUUUACCAUCUCAUUGGAUCUCUUUUCUUAUUCCCAGCUACAGAAUUGCUCAGUUUGCUUGCACACUGAAGAAAAACAUGAGCCAGUUAACUACACGAAUUAGUGAAUCCCAUUUUAGACUCCACUAUCUAUAUUGACUUGAUCUCUCCUGGAUUAAAAAAAAAAAAUGUUGAGAAACACUUUGAUUGACAUAUAUAUUGUUCAUGGAAACUCACUGAUUUUCUUGUUCAGUUCUGGUACUAGAGUAGAAAUUUGGCUUGCCAAUCAAAUACCUUUUGAAACACUAGUGAAGAUGUAGGUAGCUGUUAUGAACAAAGUGGUUGUAGGAAGCAUUAGAAAAUUCCACACUACAUUCAUGACCACAGCGACAGCUGAA